UUGGUCUGUCAAAUGAAGAGCUUACUUUUUCUACUGAUGAUGAAGAGUUACCUCAUUUAGACUCGCUUGAUGAAGUGAAUGUACACAGGGAAGCACAGACAGUAAUUACAUCAGGUUGUUGUUUCACUUCUUACCAGCAGCUGUGGGCAUUUUAUUGUGGACUGUAUGAAAAACAUUGAAGUUAAACACCUAUUUGUAAGUUACCUCUUAAGUUUUUAAUGUGUAUCAAGCUUAG